AUACGGAGGGUGCAAACGUUAAUCGGAAUUACUGGGCGUAAAGCGUGCGUAGGCGGUUUAUUAAGUCAGAUGUGAAAGCCCCGGGCUUAACCUGGGAACUGCAUUUGAUACUGGUAGACUAGAGUAUGGUAGAGGGGGGUAGAAUUCCUAGUGUAGCGGUGAAAUGCGUAGAUAUUAGGAGGAAUACCAGUGGCGAAGGCGGCCCCCUGGACCAAUACUGACGCUGAGGUACGAAAGCGUGGGGAGCGAACAGGAUUAGAUACCCCAGUAGUCC
rnacentral:rRNA from 1 species